UUCCGAAUACUUGGGGUUUGAUCACUAAUUCCUGAGUAAAUUUCAUCAAAGAUUUUCCUAACUCAACAUUUCUUUAUUAUACAAGUACAAUUACAAUAAAUUUUCGCUGAAAACGGACUUCUUUUACGAACUACUCUAAUCAACACUUUGACACAAAAUUGUGAAUACCUGAAUUCCUAUCUCAUUUGUUUGUGCUUAUCUAAGAUUUAGGCGAUAUUAUUUCAAAGGUUCAGUUCCGAAUAUUUUCUUUAACUUUUUCAUUAAGUAGUUAGUAUUAGUUAAAGUCGUAACGAACGAAGCAUUAAAUGGUUAAAUGCUGGGUACAACAAGUUUGUCAAAUAAAAAGUAUUUAUGGAUGUAACAAAAUGUUUAGUUAAAGUUACUUAAAGCUUUGAGACAUAGCAAUUAGGAAUUAAAAUUUUAGUAAGACGAUCAGAAGACAUAUGCACACUUUGUGUAGAAUUUUAGAAUUUCUAAACACAAUUUUUAUAGAGAAUCUAACGAUGUUGGAAUAGUAAGUCAACCUCCAAAAUUCAAUAGUGAACAACAAAUAUUAUUUUCAGUCUUAAAAGUACCUUUAGACCAUGAUUAGCACUACAAAUAUAUGCGGUAAUUCAGUAACAAGAAGUAGAAGUUUCGUAGUGAUAAAAAUAUAUGAGAACAAUGGACUGGCCACGGGAUUACAUAUUUACAGUGAGUAAAGCUUGCAAAGUACGAAUCUGUAGAAGGGACCUUAUACAUUCAUACAUACAUAUAUUUGUAUAUAUUGUACAUAUAUAUGCAUAAUUUAGUAAAUCAGCUGAAAUAAACCUGUUCAACAAAAACAUCGCCUGUGCUACAGAUGGAAAAAUAGUUGCAUAGAAUGGAAUGAGCGGAUAGACCAAUAGCUCUAAGCGUAAGUAUAAAACUAUAAUGGAGUUAAACAAUAGUGCUUUUGCAUGCAAGAUAAUAGGUAUUCUAUUGUUAUUAUAAAUUCUUCUCUUUGAAUUGAGCUCUUAGUAUUCCUUCGAUUAUCGAAAUAACCCUUACUUUUUACUUCAGCACAAAAUGUAGAAUGCGGUAGGCUCCAACUACUUUGCUCAGUUAAUAAAAUUUCUCAACCAAAUAAGCAAAGUUUGUUAGCUUGUACUUCAAAACCUUCAUUUUUGAGGAAAAUCAAUUACUAGCUUGCAGCAAAGUUUAUGUACAAGACCGAGGUUUAUGCAAUUUACCCGGAAAGCCUUUCUAUUAUACCGAGGAAAACUUUUUUAUGUGAAUGUCACUCACCCCUUUUGAAUAAAAACGUGUCAACUGCAGGACUGGCAUUUGUAAUCUUGAAUAUACUUACCUUGAGUUCAUCCAGCAGUAAAUAAUUGGAUUAUACAUGGAGUUACUCAUGGCUAGCCAAUAGAUGCCUAAAUAGACUUCCUGAAUGAAAGGAGUCUGUGUCAGCGCCGGAUAACAUGAUGUGACUAUGAAAUAAAUGUGAAAAGGCAACCAACAAACGGCAAAUAUCAGCACCACAACCAUCAUCAUUUUCACCACCUGCAAGGGCGAGAAUUCAAAAUAAUUGAUAAAUGAUAGAAUGGCAAUCAAUUUCAGUAUAAUUAGAUAGUUGUAUAUGUAUGUAUAUGAAGGCUGGCAAUAUAAUGGGUAUUCGAGAUAUACGGCGACUUCUGAUGCUUUCCAUUGCCGGAUUUGGCGCAGUUGAAGUCGACGAACUACAAUAUUACUGAAUUAUUUAGUUACUCUCUGUGGAAUACGACCAAAUAAAGUUGUCUACCAAAAAGUGAUUUAAAUGCUCUCUGCUCAAUCAAAAAGAAAUGCGAUCUUAUAGUUCGUACUCAUCAUCUUGAAAUCCUAAUGAAAUCCAUCUUGUUAAUGAAAAUAUUCGAGGCAAAAAACACCGAACCUGAGGAUUGUUUUGAUAAAAAACUUUACUUUUAUUUAAAAUGAUACCCACUUUUCAGCCUGCCUGCUGUAGAAAUAUUUCUCAUAUUUAAGGACUUGUACUUACCCUACGCUUGCUCCGAACAUUCUCCACCUGUCUAGGCGUAUACUCUCCGAUUGUCUUUGAUCCCCAAAGUUCAAUGCCAACUCGUGAAUAAGUGACCGUCAUAGAAAUGAUGGGCAGUAUAUACGUGAGAAUCAUAAAAACGAUAUUAUAACUGUAAAAAAUGUAAAAGAGCAAAAUAAAAUGAGCGAGAAUAUAGUAUAACCUUAUUUCCAAAA